GACGAAAAAGAAAAUAUAAAUAAAAAAACAGAUCAACAAAGCGAUAAUAAUUUGAGUAAUAACUAUUUUGAUCAUAAUAAAAAUGAUGUAAAAUGUAAAAAUGUAGAUAAAGAAAUAAAAAAAAAUAAUAAUUCUGACGAAAGUAGUAAAAAUAAAAAUAGUAAACAAAGCGAAGUAACAAAAUUGAAUGAAAAUAUAUUUCAUAUAGAACGUUUAAUGGAAUCAUGUACAAAUUACAACGAUUAUGUAAAAUAUGCAUAUUAUAUGGAUGUACUAACAGGUAAAUCAAUUCACAUUAAUGAAAACGAUGAUUAUAUCAAUAUGUAUGAUUUAAAUUUAUUAAAAAAAACUUCAGAAAAUAUAAAAAAUAAUUUAAAAAAUGAGGAUUUAUUAUUGUUAUUAGAGGAUAUAAAAAUGGCUACCUCUAUUCGAAUUAAAAAUAUAUUUCAAGAAAAAUAUUAUAGUAAAACAUAUUCAAGCCCUCAUAUUAUACUUAUAAUUUUUGUUAACAAUGUUAUGAAUGCUUUAAAUUAUAUAGAAAAUUAUGUAAAAAAAGAAAAAAAAAAAAAAAAAAAAAAAAAAAAAAAAAAAAAAAAAAAAAAAAAAAAAAAUUCUAUUGAAUUAUAA
rnacentral:lncRNA from 1 species